rnacentral:rRNA from 1 species
AUUGAACGCUGGCGGCAUGCCUUACACAUGCAAGUCGAACGGCAGCACGGGGGCAACCCUGGUGGCGAGUGGCGAACGGGUGAGUAAUACAUCGGAACGUGUCCUCUUGUGGGGGAUAACCAGUCGAAAGAUUGGCUAAUACCGCAUGAGAUCGCAAGAUGAAAGCGGGGGACCGCAAGGCCUCGCGCGAGAGGAGCGGCCGAUGUCGGAUUAGCAGUUGGUGGGGUAAAAGCCUACCAAGGCGACGAUCCGUAGCUGGUCUGAGAGGACGACCAGCCACACUGGGACUGAGACACGGCCCAGACUCCUACGGGAGGCAGCAGUGGGGAAUUUUGGACAAUGGGCGCAAGCCUGAUCCAGCCAUGCCGCGUGUGUGAAGAAGGCC